rnacentral:rRNA from 1 species
AUUGAACGCUGGCGGCAGGCUUAACACAUGCAAGUCGAGCGGGGUGAUGGUGCUUGCACUAUCACUUAGCGGCGGACGGGUGAGUAAUGCUUAGGAAUCUGCCUAUUAGUGGGGGACAACAUCUCGAAAGGGAUGCUAAUACUGCAUACGUCCUACGGGAGAAAGCAGGGGAUCACUUGUGACCUUUCGCUAACAGAUGAGCCUAAGUCGGAUUAGCUAGUUGAUGGGGUAAAGGCCUACCAAGGCGACGAUCUGUAGCGGGUCUGAGAGGAUGAUCCGCCACACUGGGACUGGGACACGGCCCAGACUCCUACGGGAGGAAGCAGUGGGGAAUAUUGGACAAUGGGGGGAACCCUGAUCCAGCCAUGCCGCGUGUGUGAAGAAGGCCUUAUGGUUGUAAAGCACUUUAGGCGAGGAGGAGGCUCUUUUGGUUAAUACCCAAGAUGAGUGGACGUUACUCGCAGAGUAAGCACCGGCUAACUCUGUGCCAGCAGCCGCCGCAG